rnacentral:tRNA from 1 species
GGGAUGGUGGCUCAGUGGUUAGAGCGCCUGCCUCAUGAACGGGAGGUCGUGGGUUCGAACCCCGGCCGAGUCA